CGAAUAGGUCAAAUAUGCUGGAAUGCUUUUUGGCCAAAAGACUUCGGCUGCCUAAGGAUGGAUCUGCGGUCUAUCAGGUAGUAGUGGGUGUAACGUACCUACUAGCCUACAACGGAUAUGGGUUGUGAGAGCAAGAGCCCAGAGAUGGAUUCUGAGACAUGAAUCCAGGCCCUACGGGGCGCAGCAGGCGCGAAAACUUUACAAUGCGGGAAACCGCGAUAAGGGGACACCGAGUGCCAGCAUUUAUGUUGGCUGUCCACAUGUGUAAACGGCAUGUGUUAGCAAGGGCCGGGCAAGACCGGUGCCAGCCGCCGCGGUAACACCGGCGGCCCGAGUGGUAAUCACUUUUAUUGGGUCUAAAGGGUCCGUAGCCGGUUUGAUCAGUUCUUCGCGAAAUCUGACAGCUCAACUGUUAGGCUUCCAGGGAAUACUGUCAGACUUGGGACCGGGAGAGGUAAGAGGUACUACAGGGGUAGGAGUGAAAUCUUGUAAUCCCUGUGGGACCACCAGUGGCGAAGGCGUCUUACCAGAACAGGUCCGACGGUGAGGGACGAAAGCUGGGGGCACGAACCGGAUUAGAUACCCGGGUAGUCCCAGCCGUAAACGAUGUUCGCUAGGUGUCAGGGGCGGUGCGACCGCUUCUGGUGCCGUAGGGAAGCCGUGAAGCGAACCACCUGGGAAGUACGGCCGCAAGGCUGAAACUUAAAGGAAUUGGCGGGGGAGCACUACAACGGGUGGAGCCUGCGGUUUAAUUGGACUCAACGCCGGAAAACCCACCGGGGGCGACAGCAAGAUGUAGAUCAAGCUAAAGACUUUACCUGAAUCGCUGAGAGGAGGUGCAUGGCCGUCGUCAGUUCGUACUGUGAAGCAUCCUGUUAAGUCAGGCAACGAGCGAGACCCA
rnacentral:rRNA from 1 species